AUGCCCUGCCCUGCCUUGCAUUUGCUCUGCCCUGGUUCUACACUGGCCCUGGACCCGCAGGCCAGCACAGUUCUGUGGCCUCUGCACCAGGGUUUCACUCAAGGAGGAGUGGGGGCAGAGAGUGUGGGUGAGCCAGCGUUCCCUGAGGAGCUGCCUUUCUUGGGGACAUUGCCCUGGACGAAGAGGACCUGAGGGCCUUCCAGGUACAGCAGGCUGCGGAUCUCAGACAACACACAGCUCGUAAGUCCUCCAUCAAAGCUGCAGUUGCAGGAAACACUUCUACCCCCAGCUGCCAGAGCACCAACGGGCAGCCUCAGAGGGGAGCCUGUGGGAGAUGGAGAGGUAGAUCCCGUAGCCGGCGGGCGGCGACGUCCCGACCAGAGCGUGUGUGGCCCGAUGGGGUCAUCCCCUUUGUCAUUGGGGGAAACUUCACUGGUAGCCAGAGGGCAGUCUUCCGGCAGGCCAUGAGGCACUGGGAGAAGCACACCUGUGUCACCUU
rnacentral:sRNA from 1 species